CAUUCUUUUGCGGGAGAGUGCAGACUGCAAACUUUCGCACCUGCCGCCGAAGGGGAAAAUAGCCCAUAAUCUCUCAGGCUCUAAGGACCGUAAAAGGAGC
rfam:Bartonella taylorii 8TBB genomic scaffold supercont1.5, whole genome shotgun sequence.